CCUACGGGUGGCACCAGUGGGGAAUCUUGGGCAAUGGGCGCAAGCCUGACCCAGCGACGCCGCGUGUGGGAAGAAGGCCUUCGGGUCGUAAACCACUGUCAGGAGGGAAGAAAAGCAGAUUCCGAACAGGGGUCUGUAUUGACGGUACCUCCAGAGGAAGCACCGGCCAACUCCGUGCCAGCAGCCGCGGUAAUACGGAGGGUGCAAGCGUUAUUCGGAAUCACUGGGCGUAAAGCGCGCGUAGGCGGCUGCGCAAGUCAGAUGUGAAAGCCCUCGGCUAAACCGGGGAAUUGCAUCUGAAACUGCGUAGCUAGAGUUCGGGAGAGGGCGGCGGAACUCCCGGUGUAGGGGUGAAAUCCGUAGAUAUCGGGAGGAACACCAGAGGCGAAGGCGGCCGCCUGGACCGAAACUGACGCUGAGGCGCGAAAGCGUGGGUAGCAAACAGGAUUAGAUACCCUUGUAGUC
rnacentral:rRNA from 1 species